rnacentral:rRNA from 1 species
CUUUCUUCGGAAAGUGUAUAGAGUGGCGCACGGGUGAGUAACACGUAGGUUAUCUACCUCCGAGUGGGGAAUAACAACCGGAAACGGUUGCUAAUACCGCAUAAUACCGAAAGGUCAAAGCUUUAGUGCUUGGAGAGGAGCCUGCGGCAGAUUAGCUAGUUGGUAAGGUAAUGGCUUACCAAGGCGACGAUCUGUAUCCGGUCUAAGAGGACGGUCGGACACACUGACACUGAAUAACGGGUCAG